rnacentral:misc_RNA from 1 species
UCAAUUUCUGUUUUUUGGGGUUUUGUUUGUUUGUUGAACAAUUUCAUUGAAGAUACGAAUCAUGGCUUAUGCUUCUCAUAUAAUCAAUCACUCGAAGAAGUUAAGAAAUGUUCCCAACUUGCUUCAGCAUGAGGUUAGUUUGGUUCGUUGGUUUUCAAACGAUACUCGCUUCUUCUUCAGUAAAAAGGAUGAUAUUGGGAAGGUUCGUCAUCAUGAUUUUGUAGCAGCAGGAAAAGAAAGGUUUUCAAUCACUGCUGCUAAUAGCACUGCAUUGUCAUCUGGUGCAUCAAGGAAAAAUGUCUCAAGGACAAUAAUGCAAGUUGGGAACCCAUUGGCUGGACCACGACUCUUGAAGGAUUUUUCUUGUUCACAGGCAUUGUCAAGGAGAGGAUAUUCAUCUGAUUCUGGUCUUCCUCCGCACCAAGAGAUUGGAAUGCCUUCUCUCUC